UCGACGGUUAAGCAUCUUCGGAUGUGUAUAAAGUGGCGAACGGCUGAGUAACACGUGGGCAACCUGCCCUUUGCACUGGGAUAGCCUCGGGAAACCGAGGUUAAUACCGGAUACUCCAUAUUUGUCGCAUGGCGAAUAUGGGAAAGCUCCGGCGGCAAAGGAUGGGCCCGCGGCCUGUUAGCUAGUUGGUGGGGUAGUGGCCUACCAAGGCAAUGAUGGGUAGCCGGGUUGAGAGACCGACCGGCCAGAUUGGGACUGAGACACGGCCCAGACUCCUACGGGAGGCAGCAGUGGGGAAUCUUGCACAAUGGGCGAAAGCCUGAUGCAGCGACGCCGCGUGCGGGAUGAAGGCCUUCGGGUUGUAAACCGCUUUCAGCAGGGACGAGGCCGCAAGGUGACGGUACCUGCAGAAGAAGCCCCGGCUAACUACGUGCCAGCAGCCGCGGUAAUACGUAGGGGGCAAGCGUUAUCCAGAUUCAUUGGGCGUAAAGCGCGCGUAGGCGGUCUGUUAGGUCAGGAGUUAAAUCUGGGGGCUCAACCCCUAUCCGCUCCUGAUACCGGCAGGCUUGAGUCUGGUAGGGGAAGAUGGAAUUCCAAGUGUAGCGGUGAAAUGCGCAGAUAUUUGGAAGAACACCGGUGGCGAAGGCGGUCUUCUGGGCCAUGACUGACGCUGAGGCGCGAAAGCUAGGGGAGCGAACAGGAUUAGAUACCCUGGUAGUCCUAGCUGUAAACGAUGGACACUAGGUGUGGGGAGAUUAUACUUUCCGUGCCGCAGCUAACGCAUUAAGUGUCCCGCCUGGGGAGUACGGUCGCAAGACUAANACUCAAAGGAAUUGACGGGGGCCCGCACAAGCAGC
rnacentral:rRNA from 1 species